rnacentral:rRNA from 1 species
CCUACGGGUGGCAGCAGUGGGGGAUAUUGCACAAUGGGGGGAACCCUGAUGCAGCGACGCCGCGUGGGUGAAGGAGUGCUUCGGUAUGUAAAGCCCUAUCGGCAGGGAAGAAAUAGGACGGUACCUGACUAAGAAGCCCCGGCCAACUACGUGCCAGCAGCCGCGGUAAUACGGAGGGGGCGAGCGUUAUCCGGAUUCACUGGGGGUAAAGGGAGCGUAGACGGCCAUGCAAGCCAGGGGUGAAAACUCGGGGCCCAACCCAGUGACUGCCGUUGAAACUGCUUGGCUGGAGUGCGGGAGGGGAAGGCGGAAUUCCUGGUGUAGCGGUGAAAUGCGUAGAUAUCAGGAGGAACACCGGUGGCGAAGGCGGCAUGCUGGACCGCAACUGACGCUGAGGCGCGAAAGCGUGGGUAGCGAACAGGAUUAGAUACCCGGGUAGUC